rnacentral:rRNA from 1 species
UACAGAGGUCUCAAGCGUUGUUCGGAUUCAUUGGGCGUAAAGGGUGCGUAGGCGGCGCGGUAAGUCCGCUGUAAAAGUCCAGGGCUCAACCCUGGAAAGCCGGUGGAAACUGUCGAGCUAGAGUCCGGAAGAGGCGAGUGGAAUUCCUGGUGUAGCGGUGAAAUGCGCAGAUAUCAGGAGGAACACCAAUGGCGAAGGCAGCUCGCUGGGACGGUACUGACGCUGAGACGCGAAAGCGUGGGGAGCAAACAGG